rnacentral:rRNA from 1 species
UACGAAGGGGGCUAGCGUUGUUCGGAAUUACUGGGCGUAAAGCGUGCGCAGGCGGUCCGCAAAGUCUGAUGUGAAAUCCCCGGGCUCAACCUGGGAACUGCAUUUGUGACUGCAAGGCUAGAGUACGGUAGAGGGGGAUGGAAUUCCGCGUGUAGCAGUGAAAUGCGUAGAUAUGCGGAGGAACACCGAUGGCGAAGGCAAUCCCCUGGACCUGUACUGACGCUCAUGCACGAAAGCGUGGGGAGCAAACAGG